rnacentral:rRNA from 1 species
CCGGCGACCGGCGCACGGUGAGUAACACGUAUGGAACCUGCCCGCAGCAGGGGGAUAAGCGGAAGAAAUUCCGUCUAAUACCGCGUAACAACGUUGGGAGGCAUCUCCCGAUGUUUAAAGAUUUAUCGGCUGCGGAUGGCCAUGCGGCGCAUUAGCUAGUCGGCGGGGUAACGGCCCACCGAGGCGACGAUGCGUAGGGGUUCUGAGAGGAAGGUCCCCCACACUGGUACUGAGACACGGACCAGACUCCUACGGAAGGCAGCAG